rnacentral:lncRNA from 1 species
ACUGGGCUUAGAGUCACAUAAGAGACAGAGCAAGUAAAAUAUUACGCUACAGUGCUACUGGCCCAUAAUCAGGCAACUGCAGAGUCUUAGGGGGUUAUCUAAUGUAGUCUUGGGGUGGCUGGAUAGACUUCCCAAAGAAGGUGAUGCCGAAGCUGAGGUCGGAAAUUACGAAGAUCAGCUAUAUCUUUAAUAAAUGAAAUAAAUGUGACUGUAUGUCCUACAUCCCAUUCCUGUUGUCUUCCAUGUCUCCUCAGAGCAUCUACUUGUUUCCAAAGUUAUUUGGGUCAGCAUUUUCCUCCACCCACCACUUAAAACUGAUUUGUUUCAUACAUUUGAAAUGUAUGAAAAGCCAGAAAUCCAGGACCCACCCUGGCCUGCUCCCUUUUUCUCACCUACUGUGUUAAGGAUAAGUCAAUUGAGCUUCACUUCUCUAAUUGAAAUCACCGUGCUGAUGGAGUCUGUCUGUGGAAAUGAAAGGUGGCUACCAUAAUCUGUUGGGAGUUGAAUUAAUCCUCUGGGAGUGAGGCUGACCUAAUUACUCAGAAAUACUGGGCUUGCUUUCAUUCUGUGGAAUACAGCCAUGAGAAAGAGGCCAGCAUGCCAUUUCCUAAUCUUUUCUUGAAUUGCCUGAAACUCACCUAACAUGAAACUGAGAAGCCUUUUCAUUUGAAAGUGGUAUUUCUUAUGUUUUUUAUCUUUUUGCUUGAAAGUAUUCUUAAACUAAAGAAAGGAGAAACAGAAAAGGUGAAGAAGCCAAGAGGCUGGAGUUUCCUUUUGAAUGGAUAUUCAUCCAUGAAGCUGUUGAUUCUGUUUUUCUGUUCCUCCAGAUGUCUACACUUUUACCUCUGCUUGCCUGAUACAACCACCACCAGUCACCUCACAGAAUAACUCACUCCUUAAGAAUCUGAUCAGGAAUCAGCCUUCCCUGAUCACAAACACUGAGUUUAGAAGUCCCUCCACAGUGUCCCCCGUAACCCUGUGCUACCUCACUGCCUCAUAGUUUAGUGCCGUUUGUGUACAUGCCUAUCUUCGUCCAUGGAUCCAGAACAACUUGUAAAAAUGACUGUACUUAUCACCUUCAGUAUUCAAUGACUAAACUAUAAUUUUAACAUAUCUGGCAGAAUGAAUCACUUGGGGAUUUCUGCCAACACUACCAAUAUAUUACUCCUAAUUUGUAAUUAUUACUUAGCAUGGAUUAUAGUACCGGCUGUUGGAGAGCCAAUGUGGCAGACCCUAAGUGGAAUAAAAUGUCAGUAGCAGUCUAGGAGCAUAUAUUUAUUGGAAUAGAUCAUUCAUUCAUUUGUUCAUUAACUAAUUUGUUCAUUAAAUAAACAUUUAUUAAGCACUCA